rnacentral:ncRNA from 1 species
AAACUGGUUGAUCCUGCCAGUAGUCCUAUGCUUGCCUCAGAGAUUAAGCCAUGCAUGUCUAAGUACAUACCUUAAAAAAAUGAUACCGCGAAUGGCUCAUUAAAUCGAUUAUGGUUCUUUAGAUCAUAUAGGCUACAUAGAUAACUGUAGUAAGUCUAGAGAUAAUACAUGCAAUUAUGAUCAAACAUCAACUGAUAAUUAUGAGGUCAUCCAUUUUUUGGUAUAUGUGUGUGAAACAAGGUGACGAAUUCGAAUGUAAUCUAGUAAAACUUGUCUCUCCUUCCAUCAAAUAUCGGUUGACCGUUGUCUGAUCUGUAGGCUGAUAUGCCUUCGGCUAAUGCAUUGCACGAGCGCGUUU